rnacentral:rRNA from 1 species
GAUGAACGCUGGCGGCGUGCCUAAUACAUGCAAGUCGAGCGAAUGGAUUACGAGCUUGCUCUUAUGAAGUUAGCGGCGGACGGGUGAGUAACACGUGGGUAACCUGCCCAUAAGACUGGGAUAACUCCGGGAAACCGGGGCUAAUACCGGAUAACAUUUUGAACCGCAUGGUUCGAAAUUGAAAGGCGGCUUCGGCUGUCACUUAUGGAUGGACCCGCGUCGCAUUAGCUAGUUGGUGAGGUAACGGCUCACCAAGGCAACGAUGCGUAGCCGACUUGAGAGGGUGGGCGGCGACUCGGGGACGGGGACGCGGCCCGGACUCCUUCGGGGGGCAGUGGUAGGGAAUCUUCGCGAAUGGACGAAAGUCUGGCGGAGAAACGCCGCGUGAGUGAUGACGGCUUUCGGGUCGUAAGACUGUGUUGUUAGGGAAGAACAAGUGCUAGUUGAAUAAGCUGGCACCUUGACGGUACCUAUCCAGAAAGCCACGGCUAACUACGUGCCGGCAGCCGCCGUAA